rnacentral:rRNA from 1 species
AUUGAACGCUGGCGGAAUGCUUUACACAUGCAAGUCGAACGGCAGCACGGACUUCGGUCUGGUGGCGAGUGGCGAACGGGUGAGUAAUGUAUCGGAACGUGCCCAGUCGUGGGGGAUAACGUAGUGAAAAUUACGCUAAUACCGCAUACGAUCUAUGGAUGAAAGCGGGGGAUCGCAAGACCUCGCGCGAUUGGAGCGGGCGAUAUCAGAUUAGGUAGUUGGUGGGGUAAAGGCCCACCAAGCCAACGAUCUGUAGCUGGGCUGAGAGGACGACCAGCCACACUGGAACUGAGACACGGUCCAGACUCCUACGGGAGGCAGCAGUGGGGAAUUUUGGACAAUGGGCGAAAGCCUGAUCCAGCCAUUCCGCGCGCAGGAUGAAGGCCCUCGGGUUGUAAACUGCUUUUGUACAGAACGAAAAGGUUUCUACUAAUACUAGGAGCUCAUGACGGUACUGUAAGAAUAAGCACCGGCUAACUACGUGCCAGCCGCCGCCGUAA